AACGAACGCUGGCGGCAUGCCUAACACAUGCAAGUCGAACGAAGCCUUCGGGCUUAGUGGCGCACGGGUGCGUAACGCGUGGGAAUCUGCCCCUUGCUUCGGAAUAACAGUUAGAAAUGACUGCUAAUACCGGAUGAUGUCUUCGGACAAAGAUUUAUCGGCAAGGGAUGAGCCCGCGUAGGAUUAGGUAGUUGGUGGGGUAAAGGCCUACCAAGCCGACGAUCCUUAGCUGGUCUGAGAGGAUGAUCAGCCACACUGGGACUGAGACACGGACCAGAAUCCUACGGGAGGCAGCAGUGGGGGAUAUUGGACAAUGGGGGGAACCCUGAUCCAGCAAUGCCGCGUGAGUGAUGAAGGCCUUAGGGUUGUAAAGCUCUUUUACCAGGGAUGAUAAUGACAGUACCUGGAGAAUAAGCUCCGGCUAACUCCGUGCCAGCCGCCGCCGUAACAC
rnacentral:rRNA from 1 species